GGAGCUGUCGACGAGCUAACUGGA
rnacentral:siRNA from 1 species